UUCUUCGUUGAAGUGGAUAGGAUUAAAAUAGAACAAGAGACAUCUAAUAUAUAAAAGUUGUUUCUUUAUGGCACUUGGCAUAGGCAAGUGUUUUUCAGUGAAUCACAUAUGCAAGGAUUGAACCACAUUAAUUUACCUGCUAAGACCCAUUUGUUCUAACAGCUGAUCGCAGAGUUGAUCAUUCAUACCUUUAUAUGGAUUUUGGACCUAUGAAUAGGGACAUUCUCUUCACCCAUUUAAAUUUGAAUUUCUUCAACUUAAUGAUUCUGAAAUGGUCAGGUCCCUUCCAAUCUUGAUUAAUUCCCCUUAUCCUCGUCAAUUCUCUUAUGCCUUGUAGCAAUUCUCUUGAAUUCUGCUGUUCCUAUCCUUCCAAGAUAAUUUCAACACAACCCAGAGGGAUGUUUGCAUGUUGCCAAAGAAACAACUUUGAAAAAGAAAUAUGAACAGAUACACAACCAAACAAGGAAACUAUAUUUCAAUGCUGCUGCAGUCUUUCUUGCAUUACAUAAAAGAAGAGAUGGGAACAUGAGAACAUGACUGCCAAGUGCUAGCUUAAGGUUAGUUGCGAAUCUAGAAAAUGGCAUUUGGGUGCUGUUGCUGCCAAUCCUGAAUUGCAGAACGAAGAGAACGGUUGGGAACAAGAUUCAAGUUGUCAAGCACUAGGUUUGUCAUUGGUGAAGUGUUGUGCCCACUCUCCAGCCAGCCUGUCAAUGCCUCUGCUUCAUAAGUAAAUCCAUCUGCUGCCACAUGAGGAUCUUGCAUCACUUCCUGCAAAAUAGGACAAAAGAAAUAGGAAGGGGGCUGUUCACCCUCUUGAGAACCAAAUUGGACCAGUGGUGAGGAAAAUGUUCUCAUCGGUUCAAGCACCCUCCACACCUCUGAUGCAAGGUCUGGUCGGCUACUUUGGUACCUUGCGCAGCAACUCAAAGCCAGUUGAGCCAAUUGUUUGGCUUGGACAAAUGGCCAGUCGCCUCCUUGGGGAUCCAAAAAGGAACUCAGAUUUCUUUCAUCUAUCACAUCUCUGACUUCACUUGCUAUGCUAAAGGCUGAUCUUCCUGUCAAUAAUUGUAACAAUAUAAUUCCAAAUGAGUAAGUGUCUGAAUUCGGAGAGAGUUCUCCUGUUGCAAGGAAAUGAGGAUCCAGGUAGAGGAAAGUGCCCGUUGGGUCAGUUUCAUGAGAUAGUAUCAUGCCCCUUGGAUUUUCACAUAGAGAGAGUGCUCGACAGAAUCCAAAGUC
rnacentral:misc_RNA from 1 species